rnacentral:rRNA from 1 species
AUUGAACGCUGGCGGCAGGCUUAACACCUGCAAGUCGAGCGGAGCGGCGGACGGGUGAGUAAUGCUUAGGAAUCUGCCUAUUAGUGGGGGACAACAUCUCGACAGGGAUGCUAAUACCGCAUACUAAUAGCAUAGCCUAAGUCGGAUUAGCUAGUUGGUGGGGUAAAGGCCUACCAAGGCGACGAUCUGUAGCGGGUCUGGGAGGAUGAUCCGCCACCCUGGGACGUAGGACCUGCCCAGACUCCUAAGGGAGGCAGCAGUGGGGAAUAUUGGACAAUGGGGGGAACCCUGAUUCAGCCAUGCCGCGUGUGUGAAGAAGGCCUUAUGGUUGUAAAGCACUUUAAGCGAGGAGGCGUUACUCGCAGAAUAAGCACCGGCUAACUCUGUGCCAGCAGCCGCGGUAAUAC